rnacentral:rRNA from 1 species
GAUGAACGCUGGCGGCGUGCCUAAUACAUGCAAGUCGAGCGAACAGACGAGGAGCUUGCUCCUCUGACGUUAGCGGCGGACGGGUGAGUAACACGUGGAUAACCUACCUAUAAGACUGGGAUAACUUCGGGAAACCGGAGCUAAUACCGGAUAAUAUAUUGAACCGCAUGGUUCAAUAGUGAAAGACGGUUUUGCUGUCACUUAUAGAUGGAUCCGCGCCGCAUUAGCUAGUUGGUAAGGUAACGGCUUACCAAGGCAACGAUGCGUAGCCGACCUGAGAGGGUGAUCGGCCACACUGGAACUGAGACACGGUCCAGACUCCUACGGGAGGCAGCAGUAGGGAAUCUUCCGCAAUGGGCGAAAGCUUGACGGAGCAACGCCGCGUGAGUGAUGAAGGUCUUCGGAUCGUAAAACUCUGUUAUUAGGGAAGAACAAAUGUGUAAGUAACUAUGUACGUCUUGACGGUACCUAAUCAGAAAGCCACGGCUAACUACGU